rnacentral:rRNA from 1 species
UGCAGUCGAGGGAGAACCAUUCGAUCCGUAAGGACCGGAUGGGGAAACCGGCGAACGGGUGCGUAACACGUGAGGAACCUGCCCCGAAGACCGGGAUAGCCCGAGGAAACUCGGAUUAAUACCGGAUACCCUCUUUGGACCACAUGGUCUGCUGAGGAAAUGGUCCGCCGCUUCGGGAUGGCCUCGCGGCCUAUCAGCUUGUUGGUGAGGUAACGGCUCACCAAGGCAAAGACGGGUAGCUGGUCUGAGAGGACGAUCAGCCACACUGGGACUGAGACACGGCCCAGACUCCUACGGGAGGUAGCAGCAGGGAAUAUUGCACAAUGGGCGAAAGCCUGAUGCAGCGACACCGCGUGCGGGAUGAAGGCCCUCGGGUUGUAAACCGCUUUCAGGAGGGACGAAAAUGACGGUACCUCCAGAAGAAGGCCCGGCCAACUACGUGCCAGCAGCCGCGGUAAUACGUAGGGGCCAAACGUUGUCCGGAUUUAUUGGGCGUAAAGGGCUCGUAGGCGGUUCAACAAGUCGAUCGUGAAAGCCCGGGGCUCAACCCCGGGACGCCGGUCGAAACUGUUGUGACUAGGGUCCGGUAGAGGUGAGUGGAAUUCUCGGUGUAGCGGUGGAAUGCGCAGAUAUCGAGAGGAACACC